rnacentral:rRNA from 1 species
GAUGAACGCUGGCGGCGUGCCUAAUACAUGCAAGUCGAGCGAACGGACGAGAAGCUUGCUUCUCUGAUGUUAGCGGCGGACGGGUGAGUAACACGUGGAUAACCUACCUAUAAGACUGGGAUAACUUCGGGAAACCGGAGCUAAUACCGGAUGAUAUUUUGAACCGCAUGGUUCAAAAGUGAAAGACGGUCUUGCUGUCACUUACAGAUGGAUCCGCGCUGCAUUAGCUAGUUGGUAAGGUAACGGCUUACCAAGGCAACGAUGCAUAGCCGACCUGAGAGGGUGAUCGGCCACACUGGAACUGAGACACGGUCCAGACUCCUACGGGAGGCAGCAGUAGGGAAUCUUCCGCAAUGGGCGAAAGCCUGACGGAGCAACGCCGCGUGAGUGAUGAAGGUCUUCGGAUCGUAAAACUCUGUUAUUAGGGAAGAACAUAUGUGUAAGUAACUGUGCACAUCUUGACGGUACCUAAUCAGAAAGCCACGGCUAACUACGUG